rnacentral:ncRNA from 2 species
CCUACCAAGGAGCGUUGCGACGGCUUCGGCCGCCAGGCUUGGCAGGUGCUUUCCUUUUGGAAAACGACGCUCGCGAUCU